rnacentral:rRNA from 1 species
ACGCUAGCUACAGGCUUAACACAUGCAAGUCGAGGGGAAACGGCAUUUAGUGCUUGCACUGAAUGGACGUCGACCGGCGCACGGGUGAGUAACGCGUAUCCAACCUUCCCAUUACUGUGGGAUAACCUGCCGAAAGGCAGACUAAUACCGCAUAGUCUUCGAUGACGGCAUCAGAUUUGAAGUAAAGAUUUAUCGGUAAUGGAUGGGGAUGCGUCUGAUUAGCUUGUUGGCGGGGUAACGGCCCACCAAGGCAACGAUCAGUAGGGGUUCUGAGAGGAAGGUCCCCCACAUUGGAACUGAGACACGGUCCAAACUCCUACGGGAGGCAGCAGUGAGGAAUAUUGGUCAAUGGACGAGAGUCUGAACCAGCCAAGUAGCGUGCAGGAUGACGGCCCUAUGGGUUGUAAACUGCUUUUGUAUGGGGAUAAAGUCAAUCACGUGUGAUUGUUUGCAGGUACCAUACGAAUAAGGACCGGCUAAUUCCGUGCCAGCAGCCGCGGUAAUACGGAAGGUCCGGGCGUUAUCCGGAUUUAUUGGGUUUAAAGGGAGCGUAGGCCGGAGAUUAAGUGUGUUGUGAAAUGUAGACGCUCAACGUCUGACUUGCAGCGCAUACUGGUUUCCUUGAGUACGCACAACGUUGGCGGAAUUCGUCGUGUAGCGGUGAAAUGCUUAGAUAUGACGAAGAACUCCGAUUGCGAAGGCAGCUGACGGGAGCGCAACUGACGCUUAAGCUCGAAGGUGCGGGUAUCGAACAGGAUUAGAUACCCUGGUAGUCCGCACAGUAAACGAUGGAUGCCCGCUGUUGGUACCUGGUAUCAGCGGCUAAGCGAAAGCAUUAAGCAUCCCACCUGGGGAGUACGCCGGCAACGGUGAAACUCAAAGGAAUUGACGGGGGCCCGCACAAGCGGAGGAACAUGU